AAGAAAGGAAUCUUGUUGGCCAAGCACUUGGCAGCCACAUGGCUCCUGGGCCUGCCAGUUCCCAGGGAGGCUGAGUCCUGGCAGCCUUCCCAGAAGCCUCGGUAUGCCUGUGUCCCAUGUCUAUUCUUGCAGAGUCACCCACAUUGGGACUAAAGAGACUUACUGACAUUUCUGGACUUUUUUUUUUUUCUUCGCAUAAAAGCAAGCUAACGCAUCAGCCGGAUGCUGCCUCAUUGAUGGCUUCAAAAAUUGUUUUCGAUUUGACCGUGACCCUCAAACAUAGACUUUCUCCGGGAAAAACAGCUGAUGCUAUCAGGCUCAGCCAAACCUGCCAGGAGCCCUCUUAACCCUGUAUUAGCAGAUGAGAUCGGGCGUGUGAAGAGCAAAAUAAACACAAGACUCCUAAGGAAGAGCUUCCAAGAAGAAUAUAGUUACAAUUGUGAUGAGUGCUCCAGGGGGAAAGAAAGUAUGGGAUGCUGUGGAAAUAGCAAACAAAGUGACAGAGCAAGGGAGGGGCAGAGAGAGAAGGAGACAGAGGAUCCGAGGCAGGGUCUGUGCUGACAACAGACAGCCCAAUGCAGGGCUCGAACUCACGAGCCUUGAGAUCACGACCUGAGCCGAAGUUGGACGCUUAACCGACUGACCCACCCAGGCGCCCCUCUCACUGAUUCUUACUAAGCAAGUGUGUCCAGUGCUACCCUGCAGAAUACCCCUGAGAAAUAUACCUUCCUUUCCCAUGUAAAAGAAAACUGGUCCUAACAGGGGCUGUGCUUUUUAUGACCCCAACCAGUGGAGGAUCUUGGUGUAAACUCUUAGUUCACAUGAUACUUUUCCUACUUAGAACUAAAUCAAGCAAGAAGUGACACAUGGUGACACAGCCAGAGUGACACUUUUAGUAGGACAACUCCCCCGCAGGUAAUUCCUUGGGAAUCCAAUCCAUGAUCCUGAGCAAAGUCUGUAAGCCCUGUGUCCUCUCGCCCCACCUCUUGCUCUCUCCCUCUUGUUUGCUCUGAUAUAUUCAACAUUCAGAUUCUCUAUACUGGUGUAUUUUAAAGUGUGUUCCUUGAAAUAGGAGG